CGCUGUAUCAAAGUACCCGCCUGUCAAUGCAUGUGCCCAUGGAAAGGGCAUCGCCUUCAGCUUAGGAAGAACAUGAAAUGCAAAGUCAGGAAUAAUACUCAUCCAGCCAGAGCAAGUUCAGCCUCAGAUGCCCAUAACUAGAUGUGGUAACUGACCCCCGAUCUCAUCCGCAAAGGCAUUGCCCUCAUGACCAUCAUUUCUAAAAGGCAUCGCCUCCUAGUACUGCACACUGUCAGGUGCCUGUGCUGCUUUGGAAGUUGUAGAACCUCUGGAAGGAAUCUUGAGAGGCGGAGCCAAGCUCGAGGAAGCUGGUUCUCUGGGAGACACAUGCUAAGGUUAGUAGCCCAGCCAUUCUUCCUGUGCUGGCUCUGCCUCCAGACCCACGAAAAACAUUAACAAGCUCUGUCACGAGCUCUCUCGCCCAUGGCCGAAAAGCCCUGCUGCUGUGCUCCACCUCUACCAUGAACUGUUAACAUGCAUCCUUCUUCAUCCGAGUUGUUUCCUACGGGGGUAUUUGGUUAUGUUGCCAAGAAAAGUGAUGGGCACAAUGCUAGCUUCCAUUCAUCUGAGUCACCCUCAACAAAUACGGGCAUAAGUUGCUCAAAGGAUCCUAUCGAAGUCUCCAAGAACAUUCUUUAAAAAGGUCAUGAACACCGAUGCAAACAUUUCUGUAAUGUUUUGAUUUAGAGGCCUCUGAGUCAAUAUUUAUUGCAGUCCCAGUCACAAUAGUUUGGUUAUUGAACCAACCUAGGCACCCAACAACAAAGCGAUCGGUAAAGAAGUUGUGGUCUUUACA